rnacentral:rRNA from 1 species
CACGUAGGCGGAUCGUAAAGUCAGAGGUGAAAUCCCAGGGCUCAACCUUGGAACUGCCUUUGAAACUUCCGGUCUUGAGUUCGAGAGAGGUGAGUGGAAUUCCGAGUGUAGAGGUGAAAUUCGUAGAUAUUCGGAGGAACACCAGUGGCGAAGGCGGCUCACUGGCUCGAUACUGACGCUGAGGUGCGAAAGCGUGGGGAGCAAACA